rnacentral:rRNA from 1 species
GACGAACGCUGGCGGCACGCUUAACACAUGCAAGUCGAACGGACGAGGGAGAGCUUGCUCUCCUAAGUUAGUGGCGGACGGGUGAGUAACACGUGAGCAACCUGCCUUUAAGAGUGGGAUAACGGCUGGAAACGACCGCUAAUACCGCAUAAUAUAUCCGUAUCGCAUGAUAUGGAUAUCAAAGAUUUAUCGCUUAAAGAUGGGCUCGCGUCUGAUUAGCUGGUUGGUGAGGUAACGGCUCACCAAGGCGACGAUCAGUAGCCGUACUGAGAGGUAGAACGGCCACAUUGGGACUGAGACACGGCCCAG